GACGAACGCUGGCGGCGUGCUUAACACAUGCAAGUCGAACGAAGAAGCCCAGCUUGCUGGGUGGAUUAGUGGCGAACGGGUGAGUAACACGUGGGCAACCUGCCCCAAACGCUGGGAUAACUCCUCGAAAGAGGUGCUAAUACCGGAUACGAACUAGACAGACAUAUGUACUAGUUGGAAAGUUUUUGGGUUUGGGAUGGGCCGGCGGCCUAUCAGCUCGUUGGUGUGGUACCGGCUCACCAAGGCUACGACAGGUAACCGGCCUGAGAGGGCGUCCGGUCACCCUGGGUCUGAGCCAGAGCCCGGACUCCUACGGGAGGCAGCAGUGGGGAAGAUUGCGCAAUGAGCGAAAGCCAGACGCAGGGAGGCCGCGUGAGGGAUGAAGGUCUUCGGAUCGUAAACCUCUUUCAGUAGGGACGAAGCGAAAGUGACGGUACCUAAAGAAGAAGCACCGGCUAACUACGUGCCAGCAGCCGCCGUAA
rnacentral:rRNA from 1 species